rnacentral:rRNA from 1 species
GGGUUGUGAGGUUAAGCGACUAAGCGUACACGGUGGAUGCCCUGGCAGUCAGAGGCGAUGAAGGACGUGCUAAUCUGCGAAAAGCGCCGGCGAGGUGAUAUGAACCUUUGACCCGGCGAUGUCCGAAUGGGGAAACCCAGUGUGAUUCGUCACACUAUCGUUAACUGAAUACAUAGGUUAACGAGGCGAACCGGGGGAACUGAAACAUCUAAGUACCCCGAGGAAAAGAAAUCAACCGAGAUUCCCCCAGUAGCGGCGAGCGAACGGGGAGCAGCCCAGAGUCUGAAUCAGCUUGUGUGUUAGUGGAAGCGUCUGGAAAGUCGCACGGUACAGGGUGACAGUCCCGUACACGAAAAUGCACAGGUUGUGAACUCGAAGAGUAGGGCGGGACACGUGGUAUCCUGUCUGAAUAUGGGGGGACCAUCCUCCAAGGCUAAAUACUCCUGACUGACCGAUAGUGAACCAGUACCGUGAGGGAAAGGCGAAAAGAACCCCGGCGAGGGGAGUGAAAAAGAACCUGAAACCGUGUACGUACAAGCAGUGGGAGCACCUUCGUGGUGUGACUGCGUACCUUUUGUAUAAUGGGUCAGCGACUUAUAUUCUGUAGCAAGGUUAACCGUAUAGGGGAGCCGAAGGGAAACCGAGUCUUAACUGGGCGUUAAGUUGCAGGGUAUAGACCCGAAACCCGGUGAUCUAGCCAUGGGCAGGUUGAAGGUUGGGUAACACUAACUGGAGGACCGAACCGACUAAUGUUGAAAAAUUAGCGGAUGACUUGUGGCUGGGGGUGAAAGGCCAAUCAAACCGGGAGAUAGCUGGUUCUCCCCGAAAGCUAUUUAGGUAGCGCCUCGUGAACUCAUCUUCGGGGGUAGAGCACUGUUUCGGCUAGGGGGCCAUCCCGGCUUACCAACCCGAUGCAAACUACGAAUACCGAAGAAUGUUAUCACGGGAGACACACGGCGGGUGCUAACGUCCGUCGUGAAGAGGGAAACAACCCAGACCGCCAGCUAAGGUCCCAAAGUCAUGGUUAAGUGGGAAACGAUGUGGGAAGGCACAGACAGCCAGGAUGUUGGCUUAGAAGCAGCCAUCAUUUAAAGAAAGCGUAAUAGCUCACUGGUCGAGUCGGCCUGCGCGGAAGAUGUAACGGGGCUAAACCAUGCACCGAAGCUGCGGCAGCGACACUAUGUGUUGUUGGGUAGGGGAGCGUUCUGUAAGCCGUUGAAGGUGUGCUGUGAGGCAUGCUGGAGGUAUCAGAAGUGCGAAUGCUGACAUAAGUAACGAUAAAGCGGGUGAAAAGCCCGCUCGCCGGAAGACCAAGGGUUCCUGUCCAACGUUAAUCGGGGCAGGGUGAGUCGACCCCUAAGGCGAGGCCGAAAGGCGUAGUCGAUGGGAAACAGGUUAAUAUUCCUGUACUUGGUGUUACUGCGAAGGGGGGACGGAGAAGGCUAUGUUAGCCGGGCGACGGUUGUCCCGGUUUAAGCAUGUAGGCGGAACGAUUAGGUAAAUCCGGUCGUUUAUUAACGCUGAGGUGUGAUGACGAGGCACUACGGUGCUGAAGUAACAAAUGCCCUGCUUCCAGGAAAAGCCUCUAAGCAUCAGGUAACAUCAAAUCGUACCCCAAACCGACACAGGUGGUCAGGUAGAGAAUACCAAGGCGCUUGAGAGAACUCGGGUGAAGGAACUAGGCAAAAUGGUGCCGUAACUUCGGGAGAAGGCACGCUGAUAUGUAGGUGAAGCCCCUGCGGGUGGAGCUGAAAUCAGUCGAAGAUACCAGCUGGCUGCAACUGUUUAUUAAAAACACAGCACUGUGCAAACACGAAAGUGGACGUAUACGGUGUGACGCCUGCCCGGUGCCGGAAGGUUAAUUGAUGGGGUUAGCGGCAACGCGAAGCUCUUGAUCGAAGCCCCGGUAAACGGCGGCCGUAACUAUAACGGUCCUAAGGUAGCGAAAUUCCUUGUCGGGUAAGUUCCGACCUGCACGAAUGGCGUAAUGAUGGCCAGGCUGUCUCCACCCGAGACUCAGUGAAAUUGAACUCGCUGUGAAGAUGCAGUGUACCCGCGGCAAGACGGAAAGACCCCGUGAACCUUUACUAUAGCUUGACACUGAACACUGGUCCUUGAUGUGUAGGAUAGGUGGGAGGCUUUGAAGUGUGGACGCCAGUCUGCAUGGAGCCGUCCUUGAAAUACCACCCUUUAAUGGCUGGUGUUCUAACGUAGACCCGUAAUCCGGGUUGCGGACAGUGUCUGGUGGGUAGUUUGACUGGGGCGGUCUCCUCCCAAAGAGUAACGGAGGAGCACGAAGGUUAGCUAAUCCUGGUCGGACAUCAGGAGGUUAGUGCAAUGGCAUAAGCUAGCUUGACUGCGAGAGUGACGGCUCGAGCAGGUGCGAAAGCAGGUCAUAGUGAUCCGGUGGUUCUGAAUGGAAGGGCCAUCGCUCAACGGAUAAAAGGUACUCCGGGGAUAACAGGCUGAUACCGCCCAAGAGUUCAUAUCGACGGCGGUGUUUGGCACCUCGAUGUCGGCUCAUCACAUCCUGGGGCUGAAGUAGGUCCCAAGGGUAUGGCUGUUCGCCAUUUAAAGUGGUACGCGAGCUGGGUUUAGAACGUCGUGAGACAGUUCGGUCCCUAUCUGCCGUGGGCGCUGGAGAAUUGAGGGGGGCUGCUCCUAGUACGAGAGGACCGGAGUGGACGCAUCACUGGUGUUCGGGUUGUCAUGCCAAUGGCACUGCCCGGUAGCUAAAUGCGGAAAAGAUAAGUGCUGAAAGCAUCUAAGCACGAAACUUGCCCCGAGAUGAGUUCUCCCUGAGACUUUAAGUCUCCUGAAGGAACGUUGAAGACGACGACGUUGAUAGGUCGGGUGUGUAAGCGCAGCGAUGCGUUGAGCUAACCGAUACUAAUGAACCGUGAGGCUUAACCUUACAACGCCGAAG